AAGUCGAACGCGAAAGGGGGGCAACUCCUGAGUAGAGUGGCGCACGGGUGAGUAAUGCAUCGGAACGUGUCCUGUAGCGGGGGAUAACCUAGCGAAAGCUAGGCUAAUACCGCAUACGCCCUAAGGGGGAAAGUGGGGGAUCGUAAGACCUCACACUAUAGGAGCGGCCGAUGCCGGAUUAGCUAGUUGGUGGGGUAAAGGCUUACCAAGGCAACGAUCCGUAGCUGGUCUGAGAGGAUGAUCAGCCACACUGGGACUGAGACACGGCCCAGACUCC
rnacentral:rRNA from 1 species